rnacentral:misc_RNA from 1 species
GAAAUGCGAUAAGUAGUGUGAAUUGCAGAAUUCAGUGAAUCAUCGAAUCUUUGAACGCACAUUGCGCCCCUCGGCAUUCCGUGGGGCAUGCCUGUUCGAGCGUCAUCUACACCCUCAAGCUCUGCUUGGUGUUGGGCGUCUGUCGCCUCCGCGCGCGGACUCGCCCCAAAUGCAUUGGCAGCGGUUCCUUGCCCCCCUCUUUGCGCAGCACAUUGCCAUUCGAGGCGGCGGCGGCCCGCGUCCAACAAGCUCAACCCCCCCGUCUUUGACCUCGGAUCAGGUAGGGAUACCCGCUGAACUUAAGC